rnacentral:rRNA from 1 species
CCUACGGGGGGCAGCAGUGGGGAAUAUUGCACAAUGGGCGCAAGCCUGAUGCAGCCAUGCCGCGUGUGUGAAGAAGGCCUUCGGGUUGUAAAGCACUUUCAGCGGGGAGGAAGGCGGUGAGGUUAAUAACCUCAUCGAUUGACGUUACCCGCAGAAGAAGCACCGGCUAACUCCGUGCCAGCAGCCGCGGUAAUACGGAGGGUGCAAGCGUUAAUCGGAAUUACUGGGCGUAAAGCGCACGCAGGCGGUCUGUCAAGUCGGACGUGAAAUCCCCGGGCUCAACCUGGGAACUGCAUUCGAAACUGGCAGGCUAGAGUCUUGUAGAGGGGGGUAGAAUUCCAGGUGUAGCGGUGAAAUGCGUAGAGAUCUGGAGGAAUACCGGUGGCGAAGGCGGCCCCCUGGACAAAGACUGACGCUCAGGUGCGAAAGCGUGGGGAGCAAACAGGAUUAGAUACCCGGGUAGUC